rnacentral:tRNA from 1 species
GCGCCCGUAGCUCAGUCCGGAUAGAGCACAGGACUCCGGAUCCUGGUGUCGAGGGUUCAAAUCCCCCCGGGCGCG